rnacentral:misc_RNA from 1 species
AACGCACCUUGCACCUUUUGGUAUUCCGAAAGGUACACCCGUUUGAGUGUCAUUGUAAUCUCACUCCACCAGCAUUUUGUUGAUGGAUGUGGACCUGGACUUUGUUGUGUUACUACAACUGGUCUGAAAUGCAUGAGUGCACCCUGCUGUUGCAGCGUUUUCAGUGUGAUAAGCAUCUUCACUGGAUCAAGUUCCCUUGGGACACGCAGGCAUUGUGGGCUCUGUGCUGGCAAACUGUCUUUGGACAAUUUUGACAAUUUGACCUCAGAUCGGGUGGGACUACCCGCUGAACUUAA